rnacentral:rRNA from 1 species
AUGGAUUGUAACCUCAAAAUAGUAUUUUGGAACGUGCGGGGUUUAAACUCCGGUGCUAAAUGCUCGGUUGUGCGCAGUGUGAUCUCCACGGCAUUCCCUUCCAUUGUCUGUCUCCAAGAGAUGAAACUGGCUCAUGUCUCGGACUCCAUCGUACUCGACACUCUUGGCCCACAGUUCAAGGACUACUACUUCAUGCUAGCAACCGGCACCCGCGGUGACAUUCUCCUUGCCUGGCGGCGAUCGGAGACCUCCAUUUCCAACCCGUUGAUAGGCGAGCACCACUUCAUGGCGCUGGUCACCCCCCCCCUGAACAGCACCAACCACUGGUGGUUAACCGGUGUGUAUGGCCCAUAG